UACGGGGGGGGGCAAGCGUUGUUCGGAAUUACUGGGCGUAAAGGCUCGUAGGCGGCCAACUAAGUCAAACGUGAAAUCCCUCGGCUUAACCGGGGAACUGCGCUUGAUACUGGAUGGCUUGAGAUUGGGAGAGGGAUGCGGAAUUCCAGGUGUAGCGGUGAAAUGCGAUAGAGAUCGGAAGGAACACCAGUGGCGAAGGCGGCUACCUGGCCUAAUACUGACACUGAGGCACGAAAGCGUGGGGAGCAAACAGG
rnacentral:rRNA from 1 species